AAAGAUAAAUGAAAAACCAAAAGGCAAAAAGUAUUUGUCUGUUCUGAGUGUGGUCAAAGAUUUGGACAAAAGAGCACUCUCAAAAGACACAUGAUCAUUCAUACAGGACAGAAAGCAUUUGUCUGUUCUGUUUGUGAUCAAAGAUUUCGACGAAAGAGCCACCUGAACAGACACAUGGUAAUUCAUACAGGGAAAAAGCAACAUAUUUGUUCUCAGUGCGGUCGAAGAUUUGCACAAAAGAGCAACCUGCACACACACAUGGUAAUUCAUACAGGCCAAAAAGCAUUUGUCUGUUCUGAGUGUGGUAAAAGAUUUGGAGUACAGAGCAACCUGAACACACACAUGAUAAUUCAUGCAGGAGAAAAAGCAUUUGUCUGUUCUGACUGUGGCCAAGGUUUUGGACUAAAGAGCACGCUGAACACACACAUGACUCAUACAGGGAAAAAACCAUUUGGGUGUUCUGAGUGUGGUCAAAGAUUUGGACAAAAGAGCAACCUGAAAAAACACAUAAUUCAUACAGGGGAAAAACCAUUUGGCUGUUCUGAAUGUGGUAAAAGAUUUGGAC